UACGUAGGGUGCAGGCGUUAAUCGGAAUUACUGGGCGUAAAGCGUGCGCAGGCGGUUUGCUAAGUCAGGUGUGAAAUCCCCGGGCUUAACCUGGGAACUGCGCUUGUAACUGGCAAGCUAGAGUGUGGCAGAGGGGGGUGGAAUUCCACGUGUAGCAGUGAAAUGCGUAGAGAUGUGGAGGAACACCGAUGGCGAAGGCAGCCCCCUGGGCUAACACUGACGCUCAUGCACGAAAGCGUGGGGAUCAAACAGG
rnacentral:rRNA from 1 species